GUGUCAGCAGCCGCGGUAAUACGGAGGAUCCGAGCGUUAUCCGGAUUUAUUGGGUUUAAAGGGUGCGUAGGCUGGUUUUUAAGUCAGCUGUGAAAUACCGACGCUUACCGUCGGCACUGCAGUUGAAACUGGGAACCUUGAGAGUGCAAGAGGCAUGCGGAAUUCAUGGUGUAGCGGUGAAAUGCAUAGAUAUCAUGAAGAACCCCGAUUGCGAAAGCAGCAUGCUGGGGCAUAUCUGACGCUGAGUCACGAAAGUGCGGGUAUCAAACAGGAUUAGAUACCCUGGUAGUCCGCACAGUAAACGAUGAAUACCAGCUGUUGGCGAUAUACAGUCAGCGGCGUAAGCGAAAGCGUUAAGUAUUCCACCUGGGGAGUACGCCGGCAACGGUGAAACUCAAAGAAAUUGGCGG
rnacentral:rRNA from 1 species